CGAGUAGCUGUGACUACAGGCACCCGCCACCAUGCCUGCCUAAUUUUUUGUAUUUUUUAGUGGAGAUGGGGUUUCACUGUGUUAGCCAGGAUGGUCUCUAUCUCCUGACCUCGUGAUCCACCCGCCUCAGCCUCCCAAAGUGCUGGGAUUACAGGCGUGAGCCACCACGCCUGGCCAACACCCCCAUUUUCUAUACCACACUCAACUCCCCCAUUUUCUACGUGCUGAUCAAAACCAGUCUGAAUGGAGUCUAGGUCUGGCUGUGGGCUGUUGGGAACAGGCCCCCAAAUGUGGCCAUCAACUGGCCGCAGAACUGGCCAUAAACAAAAUCUCUGCUGCACUGUGACAUGCUCGUGAUGGCCAUGACUCCCACACUGGAAUGAGGGCAAGGAACACCUGGCCCACCCAGGGCGGAAAACCACUUAAAGGAGUUCCUGAACCACAAACAAUAGCAUGAGCGAUCUGUGCCUUAAGGACGUGCUCCUGCUGCAGAUAACUAGCCACAGCCAUCCCUUUAUUUCCCGUAAGAAAUGCUUUUAAUCUAUAAUCUAUAGAAACAAUGCUUAUCACUGGCUUGCUGUCAAUAAAUAUGUGGGUAAAUCUCUGUUCGAGGCUUUCAGCUUCGAAGGCUGUGAGACCCCUGAUUUCCCACUCCACACCCUA
rnacentral:antisense_RNA from 1 species